rnacentral:tRNA from 1 species
GGGCGAAUGGUCUAGGGGUAUGAUAUUCGCUUUGCAUGUGUGCACCGAGUAGCAGUGCUUGGUGCCGUGUCAUGAUUGCGAAGGGUCCGGGGUUCAAAUCCCCGUUCGUCCA